rnacentral:rRNA from 1 species
UACGAAGGGGGCUAGCGUUGUUCGGAUUUACUGGGCGUAAAGCGCACGUAGGCGGCUUUGUAAGUUAGAGGUGAAAGCCCAGGGCUUAACCCUGGAAUUGCCUUUAAGACUGCAUCGCUAGAAUCGUGGAGAGGUGAGUGGAAUUCCGAAGUGUAGAGGUGAAAUUCGUAGAUAUUCGGAAGAACACCAGUGGCGAAGGCGACUCACUGGACACGUAUUGACGCUGAGGUGGCGAAAGCGUGGGAGCAAACAGG